rnacentral:rRNA from 1 species
CCUACGGGAGGCAGCAGUGAGGAAUAUUGGUCAAUGGACGCAAGUCUGAACCAGCCAUGCCGCGUGCAGGAUGAAGGCUCUAUGAGUUGUAAACUGCUUUUGUACGAGGGUAACCCCAGAUACAUGUAUCUGUCUGCACGUACCGUGCGAAUAAGGAUCGGCUAACUCCGUGCCAGCAGCCGCGGUAAUACGGAGGAUUCAAGCGUUAUCCGGAUUUAUUGGGUUUAAAGGGUGCGUAGGCGGUCGGGUAAGUUAGCGGUGAAAUCCCGCGGCUCAACUUCGGAAUUGCCGCUGAUACUGGUCGGCUAGAGAGUAGUUGCGGGAGGCGGAAUUCAUGGUGUAGCGGUGAAAUGCUUAGAGAUCACACAGAACACCGAUUGCGAAGGCAGCUUACCAAGCUACGUCUGACGUUGAGGCACGAAAGUGCGGGGAGCAAACAGGAUUAGAUACCCCGGUAGUC